rnacentral:misc_RNA from 1 species
GGGCAACCCAACCCAUCUCCCACUCGUCCAAAACACGCACCACCAUUACAGCUCUUUGCUUCACUUGAAAGUAUGAGUAUGAAUAUGUAUACGGGCUUCACCAGGCUUUGUAAGGGUCUUGCGGUUGUGCUUGUUGGCGGUCACAUUGUUGUUCAGAUUCUUCCUUCUGCUCUUUCUUAUCUUGCUCUCAUACCUGCCAAGACUAUUCCAUUUGCAUGGAAUCUUAUAACAGCUGGUUACACUGAACAAACAGUGUAUGGGGCAAUCAUCAGCACUAUUGGACUUCUUUUCUUGGGGAAGCUGCUUGAGCCCAUCUGGGGUUCUAGGGAAUUCUUAAAGUUCAUCUUUAUUGUCAACUUUUUGACAUCUGUCUUUGUUUUCAUCACAGCCAUAUCAUUGUACUACGUAACAAGACUGGAAAUUUAUCUCUAUAUGCCCAUUUCCGGCUUCCAAGGAGUUCUUUCUGGUUUCUUAGUUGGUGUCAAGCAAAUCAUGCCCGACCAGGAGUUGUCUAUUUUGAAACUGAAAGCAAAGUGGUUGCCUUCCCUUGCAUUGUUGUUCUCAAUUGCUAUAAGCUUUUUUACAGCAGAUUCAGUAUCUUACCUUCCAACAAUAGUAUUUGGGACAUAUUUAGGCUGGAUUUACCUAAGAUAUUGGCAGAAGAAACCAGAGACAAAACUAAAGGGUGACCCAAGUGAUGAAUUUUCCUUCUCUUCUUUCUUCCCUGAAUUUUUGAGACCAGUAAUUGAUCCAAUUGCAACAAUAUUUGAACGGAUGCUUUGUGGUAGAAGAUCUGAGACUUCUAAUGAGGAAAGGGGCUAUACUCUAGGUGGUUCCACAUUGCCUGGUUCUGAUCCCAUUGAAGCAUCGAGGAGGAGGGAAAGAGGUGCGAGAGCACUUGAAGAAAGAUUGGCAGCUGAGCUUUUGGCUUCUGGAAAGAAGGGUGAAGAAUCAGAACGAGGUGUGAAUGAUAAUGUGUAGAAGUUGGUCUAUAAUAUAUCAUAUCUAACGCGUUUUCUUGUGCGAUAGAAACUAGAAGAUUGUGCACAUUUUUGGCUGUGUACUCUUUUGGAUUCUCUUCGGUAAUGUACAUUUUUCUCG